AUUGAACGCUAGCGGCAUGCUUUACACAUGCAAGUCGAACGGUAACAGGGUGCUUGCACCGCUGACGAGUGGCGAACGGGUGAGUAAUGCGUCGGAACGUGCCGAGUAGUGGGGGAUAACGCAGCGAAAGUUGUGCUAAUACCGCAUACGUACUGAGGUAGAAAGUGGGGGACCUUCGGGCCUCACGCUAUUCGAGCGGCCGACGUCUGAUUAGCUAGUAGGUGAGGUAAAGGCUCACCUAGGCGACGAUCAGUAGCGGGUCUGAGAGGAUGAUCCGCCACACUGGGACUGAGACACGGCCCAGACUCCUACGGGAGGCAGCAGUGGGGAAUUUUGGACAAUGGGCGAAAGCCUGAUCCAGCCAUGCCGCGUGUCUGAAGAAGGCCUUCGGGUUGUAAAGGACUUUUGUCAGGGAGGAAAUCCCUAGUGCUAAUAACACUGGGGGAUGACAGUACCUGAAGAAUAAGCACCGGCUAACUACGUGCCAGCAGCCGCUGUAA
rnacentral:rRNA from 1 species